rnacentral:tRNA from 1 species
GCCGGGAUGGCGGAACUGGUAGACGCAUGGGACUUAAAAUCCCUGGGGCCUGGGGCCCGUGCGGGUUCGAGUCCCGCUCUCGGCA